GCUGCAAAUGGCAUCUUUUAUGGCUGAGUAGUAUUCCAUUGUAUAUAUGUAUCAGCUCGUCUUUAUCCAGUCAUGUGCUGAAGGACAUUUGUGUUGUUUACAUGUUCCUUGUUCUAUGUCCCUUCUGGCAACAAUUACGGAUUUUAAAUAUUUUCCACCUUAAAAUCCUUUCUGAAGGAGAUGGGAAGAGAACACGUCUG